rnacentral:tRNA from 1 species
AAGAAAGUGGCAGAGCGGUGAUGUGACUGACUUGAAAUCAGUGUAUGGGGGUUCGACUCCUCCCUUUCUCG